GGGAUGGGCUUUGUGCCUUUACUGUCCUUUUUCGUCCUGCUAAUGACCGAUCUCUAACAAAAUAGGCCCAACUCUAGGUCUUGUAGCCAUCAAACGACCCAAAUGUGUAUGCUCUUUAGCGGAACAAAGAAAAAAGAAACAAAAAUCGACAACAACAAAUGGAGGAACAAAGUUUUCCUUUUUUUUUUUUUUUUCUAAUUCAGUCUAUCAUUCUGACUUGAAAAUGAAUGUAAAAAUCACAUGUAUUUUGAAAAAUUCAUGUUUGAGAAAAUGUUUGUUUAAUAAACUAGGUUUGAGAAUAUUACUUUGACCCAAUUUAAAGAAAAAACUUUAUCCUAUGUGGCUUGAGCUAUAUCGUCCAAUGGCAGAUCGUAAUAAGAUCUUGCCGAUCCCUAUUGACAACUUUGAUAAUAAAAAACAGGAGAAAAAGCUUUUCUGUCAACAAGCUGGUGUCCUCAUUGAGCUUCAGGGCCAACUUUCUAUCAAUGUCAGACGAUUCACAGAACCCAUGGAGUGCCCAAAUACAACCAAUUGUCGGUUGACCUAGAAAGACCUAACAGAUGGCCCAUGAAUACUCUUCUCAAAUUUUCAUAAGAAAUUGAAGAACUCCUGAAAGGCCAUAUAUCAUUUGACCCAAAAAAGGGCAUGUCCUUCAAGAUAACCCAGCCAGCUCCCACACAUUACAAAGGCUUGUUGGCAUCAGACAGCCAGACAACCCAACAACCUAGCAACCUUAGAC
rnacentral:lncRNA from 1 species